rnacentral:rRNA from 1 species
ACUGGGGUGAAGUCGUAACAAGGUAGCCGUAGGGGAACCUGCGGCUGGAUCACCUCCUUAAACGACA